AUGAAGCUAAAUGCAUCACCAGGACCAGAUGGUUUCAACGUGGAAUUUUACCUUGCAACAUGGGAUUGGAUUGGAGAUGAUGUCACCAACUUGGUAACCAAUUUCUAUCAUACAGGUAUAUUACCUCCUCACAUUAGUGACACUAAUAUUGCUCUCAUCCCUAAAAAGUUGGUUCCUCAAGUUUCUACUGAUUAUCGUCCAAUCAGCCUUUGUAAUGUUAUUUAUAAGAUCAUUGCUAAAUCUUUGGCUAAUAGGCUCAAACCGCACCUGCCUGAUUACAUUGAACCAACCCAGCAAGCUUUCAUUGAGGGGCGUAGAAUUAGCGAUAACAUCAUCAUU
rnacentral:rRNA from 1 species